CGCGUAGGCGGGAAUAUUAGUCAAGCGUGAAAGCCCCAGGCUUAACCUGGGAAUUGCGCCUGAAACGGUAUACCUAGAGGACGAGAGAGGAAAGCGGAAUUCCUAGUGUAGAGGUGAAAUUCGUAGAUAUUAGGAGGAACAUCAGAGGCGAAGGCGGCUUUCUGGCUCGUUACUGACGCUGAGGCGCGAAAGCGUGGGGAGCAAACAGGAUUAGAUACCCUGGUAGUCCACGCCGUAAACUAUGAGUGCUAGACGUUGGUCCUUUCAGGAUCAGUGUCGGAGCUAACGCAAUAAGCACUCCGCCUGAGUAGUACGGUCGCAAGAUUAAA
rnacentral:rRNA from 1 species